GAUGAACGCUGGCGGCGUGCCUAAUACAUGCAAGUCGAGCGAACAGACGAGGAGCUUGCUCCUCUGACGUUAGCGGCGGACGGGUGAGUAACACGUGGAUAACCUACCUAUAAGACUGGGAUAACUUCGGGAAACCGGAGCUAAUACCGGAUAAUAUAUUGAACCGCAUGGUUCAAUAGUGAAAGACGGUUUUGCUGUCACUUAUAGAUGGAUCCGCGCCGCAUUAGCUAGUUGGUAAGGUAACGGCUUACCAAGGCAACGAUGCGUAGCCGACCUGAGAGGGUGAUAGGCCACACUGGAACUGAGACAAGGUCCAGACUCCUACGGGAGGCAGCAGUAGGGAAUCUUCCGCAAUGGGCGAAAGCCUGACGGAGCAACGCCGCGUGAGUGAUGAAGGUCUUCGGAUCGUAAAACUCUGUUAUUAGGGAAGAACAAAUGUGUAAGUAACUAUGCACGUCUUGACGGUACCUAAUCAGAAAGCCACGGCUAACUACGUG
rnacentral:rRNA from 1 species